rnacentral:rRNA from 1 species
AUUGAACGCUGGCGGCAUGCUUUACACAUGCAAGUCGAACGGUAACAGGUUAAGCUGACGAGUGGCGAACGGGUGAGUAAUGCAUCGGAACGUGCCCGACCGUGGGGGAUAACGCAGCGAAAGCUGCGCUAAUACCGCAUACGAUCUGAGGAUGAAAGCGGGGGACCGUAAGGCCUCGCGCGAUCGGAGCGGCCGAUGUCAGAUUAGGUAGUUGGUGGGGUAAAGGCUCACCAAGCCGACGAUCUGUAGCUGGUCUGAGAGGACGACCAGCCACACUGGGACGGAGACACGGCCCAGACUCCUACGGGAGGCAGCAGUGGGGAAUUUUGGACAAUGGGCGAAAGCCUGAUCCAGCAAUGCCGCGUGCAGGAAGAAGGCCUUCGGGUUGUAAACUGCUUUUGUACGGAGCGAAAAGGCUCUCUCUAAUACAGGGGGCUCAUGACGGUACCGUAAGAAUAAGCACCGGCUAACUACGUGCCAGCCGCCGCCGUAG